GUGAAUCAUCGAAUCUUUGAACGCACAUUGCGCUCUUUGGUAUUCCGAAGAGCACGCCUGUUUGAGUAUCGAAAAAACCGUCACGACUUGGUCCUGGAGCUCGCUUCGGUAGACUUUGAGACGUGAGAGUUGGGCUGUGCCUGCUUUAACCAGCAGGUAGCCUCAAAUGAGAGCGUUGGAAGCUGGAUCUCCUCUACUGGGAUCGCUGCCCGAAAUGUCUUGAAUUGAGGUCCCUUCGGGGAUAUCUUCAUUUUUCUUUCUUGCAGUUUCUCAGAGCCUGGUGGAGAACCGGUCGACCGA
rnacentral:misc_RNA from 1 species